UCAACUGUCUGACUCACAUCGCUGCUCCCAGAGCUCCUGGAGCUUCAACCCUCGGCUUGGCGGCUUAAGGCUAACACUGUCCGAGCAUCUCGGAAGCCCCCUGGACCAUCAUGGAUGCCAAAUCGGGAAACUCUUAUGGAGGAGGACUCGAGUAUGUCUUCAUCAGCAGCUUGAAAACAGACUAAUACAGCUGGCUUAAUAGAUUGAAUUGAAAAUUGUUGCCUCCUUUAAAUGUUCUGGAGGCUGGGACAUCAAGGAUGAAGACCUGGGAAGAGUCAGUGUACAGUGAGGGCUGCUUCCUGAUUCAUGAAUGUUGCCUUUUCUUGGUGUCCUCACAUGGUGGAAGGAGCAAGGAGCUCUCUGGGGUCCCUUUUAUAAGGACAUUCAUUUCACUAAUGAGGAUUUUGCCUUCAUUGCAUGAUCACUUCCUAAUGGCUCUACCUCCAUCACAGUAGAGAUUAGAUUUCAAUUACAAGUUUAAGGGUGACAAAAGAAUUCAGUCCCACAGGAUUAUCUUGUUGUUACAGAUUUCUAAUGUAUUUCCAGUAUGGCCAGAAAAUAUAUUCUGUAUGAUUUCAAUGUUUUCAAUGUUUUUUUGUCUUAUGACCUGAAAUGUGGUUUCUCCUGGUAAAUGUAUAUAUUUGAGAUAAUAUGUAUUUUUCAUUGAUGUGCCUACAUAUAUAAAUAAAUUAAGUCUGGGUGCUUGAUAACGUUUUUCAAUUUUCUAUGUCUUUGCUAAAUUUUUCUUAGUUUUUGUAUUUAUAGCUGAAAGAAAGCUUUAAAAUGUCUAAUCACAUUCAUAGAAUUCUCUACUUCUCUCUGUAAUUUUGUCAAUUUUUCUUCAUGAACUCUGAAGACUUGCUAUUGGACCCAUUUUGGUUGCAUUUCUUUCUGUUGAAUUUACCCUUUUGUUAUUAUGAAGCCCCACUUUUUCUCUCUGGUAAUAUCUA